rnacentral:rRNA from 1 species
CCUACGGGAGGCAGCAGUGGGGAAUAUUGCACAAUGGGGGAAACCCUGAUGCAGCAACGCCGCGUGAGUGAAGAAGGUUUUCGGAUUGUAAACCCCUGUUAGUAGGGAAGAUAAUGCCGGGAACUUACGGAUGAAGACCCGCCUAACUACGUCCCGGCAGCCGCGGUAAGCGGGAGGUGGCAACCGUUCUUCGGAAUAACUGGGCGUAAAGGCUGGGUAGGCGGGUAACCAAGUGAUAUGGUAAAGAUAUAGGUUAAACCUGUAGAAAGCAUAUAAAACUGUGUAACUAGAGUGCAGGAGGGGUAAGUGGAAUUCCUGGUGUAGCGGUGAAAUGCGUAGAGAUCAGGAAGAACACCAGGGGCGAAGGCGACUUACUGGACUGUAACUGACGCUGAGGCAUGAGAGCAUGGGGAGCAAACAGGAUUAGAUACCCCAGUAGUC